GCCGAAACGACUCCUCCUCCGUUGGCGGGAGCAGCAGCCGCCGCUGCCAGCUGCCCAUCUAGGAGGAGGUUUGGGGAGACGGUCCCGGGAGUCUCCGCAUCCCCAACAUUGUUAAGCGUCUCUUCGGAAGAGCUGCGCUCGCAGACCUCCUCAGGGCCAUAAUCCGUGGCCCGAGAGACGUCGAAAAUCUCGGAGGAGACGUCCUCUGUGCGUGACUCGUCCGGGUCGUCCAAGCUCUCGGUGUCCUCGGUGAUGCUAGUGGCCACCUGGGCCGUGGUGACACUGGUGAUCUGGAAGCAGCUCUUCUUCUUGGCCGGCAUCUUGGACAUGGUGAAGAAGGCUGGAGGGCAGAGAGGCACGCCGGCUCCUCUGGGUCCUGUCGGAAACCGGGGAGGGCAGAGCACGGGCCCCCAAAGACAAAGUCCGAGUCUGCGCUGGGGUCUGAGGCCCGCCGCUGUUAAGAGUCACGGGCUGAUCCAGGCGCUGGCCGCCCGGUGAGACAUCCUCCUCCUCGUUUCCUUCUCUGUGUCGGUCUCUUCGGCUCUGCCCCCGUCUCAGUCCCGCGGCGGCUCCUCCUUCCUUUUUAGCUCUCGCAGCCGCGGCGCCUCAAUUCAAUUCCCUCAGAGGCGGCGAGAGCGCGAACCCAGGGGCGGGCCGGCUGCUUCCUCUCUCGUCUCCGGGCAGCCGUGGUCAGUCCAGCUCGGCGCUCGGCGCGGUCAGCAGGCCUUGGCUGGGGGUGGGAGUGGGAGGGCGAAGAGGAGGAGGAGGAGGCGGUGGCGGCGGCGUGAGGGGCGGUGCUGCCCCGCUCGGGCUCCUCAGGCCGGUGCCGGCGUCAGCGCUGGGCUCUCUGACUGAGGGAAGGAGCGGCGAGUCCGGAGUCGGAGAUGCCUAAUUCAGCCGGGAGCCGCGGGCCGGAGCUGGCUGAAGGUCCGCGGGCGGGCGGUGGGGCUGUGGCGCGGGCAGGCGGCCCUCCCUCCCCGGCUCUAGCCGGAGCUCAGCCCCAGGGACAUGUCGACUGCCUCAGGCGGAAACCCGCUCUGGGGGAGGGGAAAGCCGGCUCGGUCCUCCCCUUACAGGGGGAACCACCCCUGCGGGCGGGCGGCGACGGCGGUCUCGGCCUCCCCUCGCGGCUUCUCUCAGAGAGGGGCGGCGGCGGCAGACCGCUGGCACGGGACCGGAGGCGCCCCGGCUGUGUGAGGUAGCGGUGGUGGCUUCUCCGGCUCCUCCUCGGUGCGCCCAAUUCCUAAACCCCGAAGAAACUGAAAUUCAAACUGCUGAAGCGGCGGCUGCAGCUCCCUCCGCUGGGCCAAGAUGGGGCUGAAAUGGCCGCGCCAGGGAUGCUGGGAGGAGCAGCAGCCCCGCUGCCGCCGCCGCUGCCGACUAAAAUGCCGCCGCUGCCGCAGCCACCGCCAGCGCCGCAGCCGCCGCCGUUCCGUGACGCACCGGCGUCGUGACGUCACCGCUCCGCCCCCUCCGGUUUCCUGCAGUUUCGCGUGGAACCUGGGGUGGGGGGCAAUGGGCGGGGCUAAAGGUUAAAAAAGGGAGCGGUUUCUUUAUUUAAAAUUUUUAAAAUUUAAA
rnacentral:lncRNA from 1 species